rnacentral:misc_RNA from 1 species
GCAGGGGGUCGUCGGUUCGAUCCCGACAGGCUCCACCAUUUGAGUGAAACGACUUUGGGUCUGUAGCUCAGGUGGUUAGAGCGCACCCCUGAUAAGGGUGAGGUCGGUGGUUCGAGUCCUCCCAGACCCACCACUCUGAAUGUAGUGCACACUUAAGAAUCUAUAUGGAUCAGCGUUGAGGCUGAGACAUGUUCUUUUAUAACUUGUGACGUAGCGAGCGUUUGAGAUAUCUAUCUAAACGUGUCGUUGAGGCUAAGGCGGGGACUUCGAGUCCCUAGAAAUUGAGUCGUAUGUUCGCGUUAGUGGCUUUGUACCCCACACAACACGGCGUAUGGCCCCGAGGCAACUUGGGGUUAUAUGGUCAAGCGAAUAAGCGCACACGGUGGAUGCCUAGGCGGUCAGAGGCGAUGAAGGACGUGGUAGCCUGCGAAAAGUGUCGGGGAGCUGGCAACAAGCUUUGAUCCGGCAAUGUCCGAAUGGGGAAAACCACUGCUUCGGCAGUAUCCUGCAGUGAAUUCAUAGCUGCUGGAAGCGAACCCGGUGAACUGAAAUAUCUAAGUAACCGGAGGAAAAGAAAUCAACCGAGAUUCCCUAAGUAGUGACGAGCGAACGGGGAGCAGCCCUUAAGCUGGAAUGGCUUUAGAAAAACAAUCUGGGA